UGUUAUUAGCGAUAGGGAUACACCCGAUCCCAUUCCGAACUCGGAAGUUAAGCCUAUCAGCGCCGAUGAUACCUGGGUUUUUCCCUGGGAAAGUAGGUCAAUGCCG
rnacentral:rRNA from 1 species